AUAUUUUUUUAAAAAUCUACAAAAGUAAAGACACUCUGAAAAAUUACAUUUGUAAUCUGGAUAUUAUUUAAAGAGUUAGUCUUGGGCAACAUGACUGAGGCUAUGAUACUUCUCAGCCCCUGCAAAGGGGGAGGAACUCUAAAGUUCUAAAACUGAAGACUUGUCAGUGACUUCAUCUAUUAUGAAAAUCACUGAGGACUCUGAUGGGGACCACAGGGGAAGCGUCCAGAAGCAUUGGCCAACCAGAGCUUAUUCCUGGAACCAAAUUCAGGAAAAUGGAUAAGCGCCCUCACCCACUGCACUCUGGGAAGAACAAGCUCCUGGAUUACAAACAUAGACAACUGGAUUUUUCUGCAUCGGCCCUGGUGAAUACCACCUGCCAAAGAUUGCUGUGGAAACAGAUUUUGACCCCCAAUCAAAAUGUUGGCCCCAUGAAGGACUUCCACAGUGUGAGGGGAGAAGUCUAGCCCACUGUUACCCUGGCCUUUUUGCUGCCUGUGUGUGAUGCAUGACUGAGGCCUGGGCAGUCAGACAAACCCUUCAAGGACUCUGCACUGGGAACUGGUGAGCAGGAGGAGGCUGGGGCCAGAAGCUGAAAGAUU
rnacentral:lncRNA from 1 species